CAGUCGCCACGGUAAUACGUAGGUGGCAAGCGUUGUCCGGAAUUAUUGGGCGUAAAGCGCGCGCAGGUGGUUUAAUAAGUCUGAUGUGAAAGCCCACGGCUCAACCGUGGAGGGUCAUUGGAAACUGUUAAACUUGAGUGCAGGAGAGAAAAGUGGAAUUCCUAGUGUAGCGGUGAAAUGCGUAGAGAUUAGGAGGAACACCAGUGGCGAAGGCGGCUUUUUGGCCUGUAACUGACACUGAGGCGCGAAAGCGUGGGGAGCAAACAGGAUUAGAUACCCCGGUAGUCCCUGUCUCUUAUAA
rnacentral:rRNA from 1 species